GACGAACGCUGGCGGCGUGCUUAACACAUGCAAGUCGAACGAAGUGGCGAACGGGUGAGUAACGCGUAAUCAACCUGCCCUUCAGAGGGGGACAACAGUUGGAAACGACUGCUAAUACCGCAUACUGAAGGAGGGGAUUGCGUCUGAUUAGCUAGGUGGAGGGGUAACGGCCAACCAAGGCGAUGAUCAGUAGGCGGUCUGGGAUGAAGGACCGCCAAAUUGGGAAUGAGACAAGGGCCAGGAUCCCUAGGGAGGGAACAGUGGGGAAUCUUCCGAAAUGGGGGGAAGUCUGGAGGAGCAACGCCGGGUGAGUGGUGACGGUCUUCGGGUUGUAAAGCUCUGUUAAUCGGGACGCGGUACCGGAAUAGAAAGCCACGGCUAACUACGUGCCAGCAGCCGCGGUAAUAC
rnacentral:rRNA from 1 species